GACCGCGUAGCUCAGUUGGCAGAGCAUUGGGCUAGUACUCCAAAGGUCGUAGGUUCGAUUCCCACCGUAGUCA
rnacentral:tRNA from 1 species